GGAUUGUAGCUCAGUGGUAGAGUGCUUGCCUAGCAUGUGUGAGAAACUGGGUUCAAUCCUCAGUACCA
rnacentral:tRNA from 1 species